GCGCAUUUAUUUAGACUCGUGGCAUUUAAGCAAUCUACAGGAUCAGGUAGGGGCUUACCGAGCCGGUAUGUCCUGUGGUCACUGCCACAGCCCCAAACUUUAAGGUGUAGGUAGAUCCGUGCGGUUUUGUUCAUAUGGGCAUCUAAAGGAUUGGAGCCUGACCUGACAGGCAGUCGCCCCGCGGGGGAAGCUGCAGACUCGGUGUCGGUGAGCCUUCAGUCCGGAGCGUCCCCCUGUUGCUUUAAGCAGUGCGUCCUGCCGUCCGACAGGAGGCGUGUCUCCCCUACGGCCGGAGCUCAGCGCUACCAGAUGAGAGUGCGGGGGAAGCGACGCGGUUCUUCCGUAGAAACAAACCAACUUCUUUGUGCUGCUUUGAUGACUCUUCUCCGCUCACGCUCUGUCUAAGUAAAUGGAUUUUCCUGCCUAGCAUGGAUGCCCCGACACCACCACCUCCACAUUCACCAUCCUUUUGCUCAGCUGAGGGCUUUUUCUUCUUGGCGCAGUGAGCUGGACUCGUACUGAUUUUUCCCCUCUUGCCAAAUGGAUGUGGGAAAACCGCUGCUCAGCCCGCUGGUGAAGAUCAUGCCUUGAUCUUACAGCUGCCUGAAUUCACGUCGUAGGGGUUAAAGAGAAAACAAUACAGAGGAAUAUACCGAUCCAGGGAUUAAAAUCCAGCGUACCAAACAAGCACCAUGAAGAUCACCCACCUGAUAUUUAAAGCCAGGCUCAGGUGCACCGUCAAGCUUCUACUGCUGCUAACACACUGUGUGGGGCUUUUACAUGGGAUGCCACAUGUCCUGAGAUUUGGAGAACAGCAGCCACGGAGGCUGUACAGACAGCCAGGAACUCAGUCAAACAUUUGGACCACGAGCAGUAAAUGAGCUGCUCUCUUUAUGGUCACCACGAUAUGUACUCUGCAGCAAAUAAAGUCUGUCGAGCUGGUGGUGACAGAUGGUAGAAGAAGAGAAAGUCUGAUGACAAAGAAAGUUAACAGAAGUGAAAAGAGUCUGAGAAAGUCACACAUAAGGAAAUAUGGUCGUCUCUACACGGUGAUAACCUGAAAGACUUCACAGCCGAUCCCGAGGGUGCCGUUAGAUGAGCAGUGAAAAGAGGACAAUUCGUUGUGAGCAGCCUCUUUAGGUUUAUGGCCUUUGGACAUGGAGACGAUGGACAGGACAGGCUGGGAUUCCUAAACACUUCAUGCUGUUUUGUUCAACAGCUGUUUGGUUUAAACCCACUGUGGUUGUGUCGACGCCAAACACAAGAACGUUAAACACAAUCAAGUCCAAAUAUAAAUGUUUCCUUUCUAUACUCAA
ensembl:lncRNA